ensembl:lncRNA
AGUAAACUUUGUGAGGAGAUUCUGAUGGGAAAAGCUAGACAUUUUUGUUUUUUGUGUUGCUGGGGAAGAAACCCAGGUCCUUGCACAUGCUAGCCAAGUGCUUUACCUCUGUGCUACAUCCCUCAGCCUUCAGGUUCUUUUUGAUAAGGCUGGCAGCAGAGCCAGGUAAGAAGUUAGAGCAGAUGAAGAAUUGCUGAAAAAGUUGAAACUACCAAUAAGCAAUAAGGAAAUGCCACAUCAUUUAGCUCCAGGCCAAGGCUUACAGGACUGAUAUUUUAUCUCAGGUACUCUGUUAGAUAUUAGUGAUAAUAAUGUGAGCUUUUCCUGCUUUUCAGUUGUUCGAGUGAAGACAAUUAGCCAUAGGACAAGCCAGCUUAUGAUAAGUACUGCAAUAAAAGAACAUGAAAAUUUUGUAUUUUAUUACAAGAAAAAAAGAGUCAAAGUGGAUGCGGCAGAGUGGAGGUCAUUAAGUCUACCAACAAGCAGAUGCCAACAUGGAAUUGAACUGAAAAAAAUUGAAUGAAACACCUGUAAGGGGAAAAUUGGAGGGAGCUGGAGGAAGCUGGGAAGGUUAUCAGACUGAUGCAGAUCUGACUUCUGUGAAGACUGAAACUCUGUGCCAAUUAAACAUUAACUGCUCGGAGCCGGGGAUUUAGCUCAGUGGUUCCGGCGCCUGCUGCGCAUGCACAAGGUCCCGAGUUCGAUCUCCGAUGCCAAAGAAAAGAAAAGAAAAAACCCUGC